GUACUCACCUGGCAGGGGACACACCAUGAUCGUGAAGGUGGUUUUCCCAGGGCGAGGCUUACCCAUUGCACUCCGGAUGUGCUGACCCCUGCGAUUUCCCCAAAUGUGGGAAACUUGACUGCAUAAUUUGUAGUAGUGGGGGACUGCGUUCGCGCUCUCCCCUG
rnacentral:snRNA from 1 species